GGGCUGGGGCUCAGUGGCAGAGCACUUGCCUGGCAUGUGUGAGGCCCUGGGUUCGAUCCUCAGCACCACA
rnacentral:tRNA from 1 species